rnacentral:tRNA from 3 species
GGCAGGUUGCCCGAGUGGCCAAAGGGAGCAGACUGUAAAUCUGUCGGCGUACGCCUACGUAGGUUCGAACCCUACACCUGCCA